rnacentral:rRNA from 1 species
AUUGAACGCUGGCGGCAGGCUUAACACAUGCAAGUCGAACGGUAGCAGGAGAAAGCUUGCUUUCUUGCUGACGAGUGGCGGACGGGUGAGUAAUGCUUGGGAAUCUGGCUUAUGGAGGGGGAUAACUACGGGAAACUGUAGCUAAUACCGCGUAGAAUCGGAAGAUGAAAGUGCGGGACCGCAAGGCCGCAUGCCAUGAGAUGAGCCCAAGUGGGAUUAGGUAGUUGGUGGGGUAAAGGCCUACCAAGCCUGCGAUCUCUAGCUGGUCUGAGAGGAUGGCCAGCCACACUGGAACUGAGACACGGUCCAGACUCCUACGGGAGGCAGCAGUGGGGAAUAUUGCGCAAUGGGGGGAACCCUGACGCAGCCAUGCCGCGUGAAUGAAGAAGGCCUUCGGGUUGUAAAGUUCUUUCGGUAUUGAGGAAGGUUGAUGUGUUAAUAGUACAUCAAAUUGACGUUAAAUACAGAAGAAGCACCGGCUAACUCCGUGCCAGCAGCCGCGGUAAUACGGAGGGUGCGAGCGUUAAUCGGAAUAACUGGGCGUAAAGGGCACGCAGGCGGUUAUUUAAGCGAGGUGUGAAAGCCCCGGGCUUAACCUGGGAAUUGCAUUUUAGACUGGGUAACUAGAGUACUUUAGGGAGGGGUAGAAUUCCACGUGUAGCGGUGAAAUGCGUAGAGAUGUGGAGGAAUACCGAAGGCGAAGGCAGCCCCUUGGGAAUGUACUGACGCUCAUGUGCGAAAGCGUGGGGAGCAAACAGG